rnacentral:misc_RNA from 1 species
GAUGAAGAACGUAGCGAAAUGCGAUAAGUAAUGUGAAUAGCAGAAUUCAGUGAAUCAUCGAAUCUUUGAACGCACAUUGCGCCCGCCAGUAUUCUGGCGGGCAUGCCUGUUCGAGCGUCAUUUCAACCAUCAAGCCCCCGGCUUGUGUUGGGGACCUGCGGCUGCCGCAGGCCCUGAAAUGCAGUGGCGGGCUCGCUGUCACUCCGAGCGUAGUAGUUACAUCUCGCUCUGGGCGUGCUGCGGGUUCCGGCCGUUAAAAGCCUUAUUUACCCAAGGUUGACCUCGGAUCAGGUAGGAAGACCCGCUGAACUUAAGCAUAUCAAUAAGCGGAGGA